AGAGAAUAACAGAGGUUGAAAAAGGCAGGGAAAGAAAGGGAUAGGGAGAGAUUUGUUAAAGAAUACAAAACUAUAGCUAGGUAGGAGGAAUAAGUUCUAUCUUUCCUGUACC